rnacentral:rRNA from 1 species
GACGAACGCUGGCGGCGUGCUUAACACAUGCAAGUCGAACGGAAAGGCCCUGCUUUUGUGGGGUGCUCGAGUGGCGAACGGGUGAGUAACACGUGAGUAACCUGCCCUUGACUUUGGGAUAACUUCAGGAAACUGGGGCUAAUACCGGAUAGGAGCGCCUGCUGCAUGGUGGGGGUUGGAAAGUUUCGGCGGUUGGGGGUGGACGGGGGGCUUAUCAGCUUGUGGGUGGGGUAGUGGCUUACGAAGGCUUUGACGGGUAGCCGGCCUGAGAGGGUGACCGGCCACAUUGGGACUGAGAUACGGCCCAGACUCCUACGGGAGGCAGCAGUGGGGAAUAUUGCACAAUGGGCGGAAGCCUGAUGCAGCAACGCCGCGUGCGGGAUGACGGCCUUCGGGUUGUAAACCGCUUUCGCCUGUGACGAAGCGUGAGUGACGGUAAUGGGUAAAGAAGCACCGGCUAACUACGUG